CCCUUAGAUGUUCUGGGCCGCACGCGCGCUACAAUGGUCUUCGCAAACGGAUGCAUUCUCGAAGGAGAAUGCCAAUCUUGGAAUCUAUGCCUUGGUCGGGACAGUUGCUUGCAAUUUUUCGACUCGAACCAGGAAUUCCUUGUAAUCGUGAUUCAUCACAUCACGAUGAAUACGUCCCUGCCCUUUGUACACCCCGCCCGUCGCUCCUACCGAUCGAAGAGUUAGGUGAAUUGUUUUGAUCGAUAAGAUUUGACUAUGGUCAACUCUCGUUGUGAAAUUCUGUGAAUCUGACUGUUUAGAGGAAGGAAAAGUCGUAACA
rnacentral:rRNA from 1 species